rnacentral:RNase_P_RNA from 1 species
GGUCGCUGCUGUGGAGGUCUCCGUGACUGAAGCAGGGGAGGAAAGUCCGGGCUUCAUAGGGCAAGGUGCCAGGUAACGCCUGGGCGGUGCAAACCGACGGCAAGUGCAGCAGAGAGUAGACCGCCUACAACCCUCUCCCUAACCCUCUCCCAGAGGGCGAGGGAACAAAGAGAUGUAGGUAAGGGUGAAAGGGUGCGGUAAGAGCGCACCGCGUGUCUGGUAACAGUUCACGGCAAGGUAAACCCCACCAGAAGCAAGACCAAAUAGGAAUCCUGAGGCGCGGCCCGUGCUGGAUUCGGGUAGGUCGCUUGAGCGUACGAGUGAUUGUACGCCUAGAGGAAUGAUCGUCCUCGACAGAACCCGGCUUACAGGCCCGCUUCAAAG